rnacentral:lncRNA from 1 species
UGCUGAUUAGGAAGACAGGGUCUGGGGGUCAGGAAGCUUGGAUUCCAAUCCUUGCUCUGCCUCUGGAAGAAGGUUGGCAAAUGGCUUAACUUCUUAACUUACUUGUGUCAUUUGUCAACAGGGAUGAAGUUAUGAGACCUACCACAGGCUUGAGGUGAGAAUUCAGCAAGACAGUACAGGUGGAGCCCUUGAAAGAGACACACGGAUCAUGGCCUGCCAGCUGGUUGCUCACCACCUUUCUGAUCCUGGCAGCCCCUUCAGACUGUUGGCAACAGCGUCGUAKAUGACACAUCAUUUUUUUCUAGCUCCUACAGUUCUGACACAGAGAAAUGGAAUACCUCAGAGUUUCUGAAAGCCUCUGGCUGGGCCUCCACGUGCUGUAGAUCAAGAGCCUUUCCACAGAUGCUCUGAACCCAAGAGGMGGAAUUCUGGACAUGUAAGUACAAUGGCUUCCAGCUCUGUGCUUCCUCAGGUCUCUGUCCUUGUUGUUACCAACUUGUACGACACCACACUUUCCUCUCCCCAUUGGGCCAUCACAUGAUCAUUCUCAAGGACGAGAGAAUGUUCUGAAAGAUCAUCUUGGGAUCCAUAGUGUUG